UACAGAGGGUGCAAGCGUUGUUCGGAAUUAUUGGCGUAAAGCGCGUGUAGGCGGCUUUGCAAGUCGGGUGUGAAAGCCCUCAGCUUAACUGAGGAAGUGCGCCCGAAACUGCAGAGCUUGAAUACCGGAGAGGAUGGCGGAAUUCCCCAAGUAGAGGUGAAAUUCGUAGAUAUGGGGAGGAACACCGGUGGCGAAGGCGGCCAUCUGGACGGCUAUUGACGCUGAGACGCGAAAGCGUGGGGAGCAAACAGGG
rnacentral:rRNA from 1 species